rnacentral:sRNA from 1 species
CAUAUUUCUUUCUUCUUCUUCCCCGACUUGAGUUUUUCGGCGAUGGGAGACGAGCAGCUGGCGAUUGUGAUGGCCGAUCGUGAAAGAGAUCGAGAACUUUGAUUCGCUUCGCUGAUUCCGGCAACAAAGACGAUGUUUGUUCAUUAAGGGUUUGGCAUCGAAGAAGUUCAUGAAAGGCUGAUUACUGGCAGCUCUAGCGCGAUUUUUAAAUCAGAUCAUCCCGCCAUGACCUCACAAGCUUGUCUCUUCAGAAUCAGCUCAAAGACAGGAAAGAGGCGUUAAAGAUUUGGUGCAAGCUGCGACUCUGUGAUCACAACUCCACACCAAGAGCUCUGAUGUCAAGCAUCUCUACAAGAAAGAAGAAUGGGUUCUUAUCAUAUAAAUAUGUGCAAUGGAGAAAAUACAACACGUUUGGAUGGUCAACUCUAUGAAUCUGAUAAUCAUAUAAAUUUCAAGCUUCUUAAUUCUUUUAGUGUGAUGGAAUGUAAAAUACUAAUUAGUUAAUUUCUUCUUGUUCGUGCAAAUUUUUAUGUGAAACUCAUCGGUUUGCAAACAAGUUUUAUUAUUAUGAUAAAUAAAUAAAACAUUAUUUUUUG